rnacentral:tRNA from 1 species
GGUCAGGUAGUUUAGUGGUUAGAAUUCACCUUAUAAGGUGAAUAAGUGGGGGUGUCCGGGGUUCGAACCUCAGCCCCUGCA